rnacentral:rRNA from 1 species
GGCGGCGUGCUUACACAUGCAAGUCGAACGAGAAUUUUGAGAUGAUUUUUUUGAAAUGAUUCUUAAGAGGAAAGUGGCGGACGGGCGAGUAACGCGUGAGCAACCUGCCUUAUGCAGGGGGAUAACAUCGGGAAACCGGUGCUAAUACCGCGUAAGACUACAACAUCGCAUGGUGUAGUGGUCAAAAUGAUAGUGGCAUAAGAUAGGCUCGCGUCCAAUUAGCUAGUUGGUAGGGUAGAAGCCUACCAAGGCGACGAUCGGUAGCCGAACUGAGAGGUUGAUCGGCCGCAUUGGGACUGAGACACGGCCCAGACUCCUACGGGAGGCAGCAGUGGGGAAUAUUGCGCAAUGGGGGAAACCCUGACGCAGCAACGCCGCGUGAAGGAAGAAGGCUUUCGGGUUGUAAACUUCUUUGAUUGGGGAAGAAAUAGACGGUACCCAAAAAACAAGCCACGGCUAACUACGUGCCAGCAGCCGCGGUAACACGUAGGUGGCAAGCGUUGUCCGGAAUUACUGGGUGUAAAGGGCGUGUAGGCGGGAGUGCAAGUCAGAUGUGAAAUUCCGUGGCUCAACCACGGGGCUGCAUCUGAAACUGUGCUUCUUGAGUGCCGGAGAGGAAAGUGGAAUUCCUGGUGUAGCGGUGAAAUGCGUAGAGAUCAGGAAGAACACCAGUGGCGAAGGCGGCUUUCUGGACGGUAACUGACGCUGAGGCGCGAAAGCGUGGGGAGCGAACAGGAUUAGAUACCCUGGUAGUCCACGCCGUAAACGAUGGAUACUAGGUGUAGGAGGUAUCGACCCCUUCUGUGCCGGAGUUAACACAAUAAGUAUCCCACCUGGGGAGUACGACCGCAAGGUUGAAACUCAAAGAAAUUGACGGGGGCCCGCACAAGCAGUGGAGUAUGUGGUUUAAUUCGAAGCAACGCGAAGAACCUUACCAGGACUUGACAUCCCUUGAACGCUGUAGAGAUACAGUUUCCCUUCGGGGCAAGGUGACAGGUGGUGCAUGGUUGUCGUCAGCUCGUGUCG